GAGGAGAGGUAGAAACCAACGAGAACUGCUAAUUCUUGCCUCUGAGCAUAAAACCUCAGUCUCCUU
rnacentral:tRNA from 1 species